rnacentral:rRNA from 1 species
GACAGGGGUCUCAAGCGUUAAUCGGAAUCCCUGGGCUUAAAGGGUGCGUAGGUGGCCUCGCAAGUGUCCCGUGAAAUCCCACGGCUCAACCGUGGAAUUGCGGGGCAAACUGCUCGGCUCGAGGAAGGUAGAGGCCGGCGGAACGAUAGGUGGAGCGGUGGAAUGCGUAGAGAUCUAUCGGAACGCCAAAGGUGAAGACAGCCGGCUGGGCCUUUCCUGACACUGAGGCACGAAAGCGUGGGGAGCAAACCGG